rnacentral:rRNA from 1 species
CUGGCGGCGUGCCUAAUACAUGCAAGUCGAACGCAUUGUGGUUGAAAUGAUAUGAAGAACUUGUUCAGAUUUGAUUUUAAACAUUGCAAUGAGUGGCGAACGGGUGAGUAACACGUGGGAAACCUACCUCUUAGCAGGGGAUAACAUUUGGAAACAAAUGCUAAUACCGUAUAAUAAUUAAAACCGCAUGGUUUUAGUUUAAAAGAUGGUCUUGCUAUCACUAAGAGAUGGUCCCGCGGUGUAUUAGUUAGUUGGUGAGGUAAUGGCUCACCAAGACAAUGAUACAUAGCCGAGUUGAGAGACUGACCGGCCACAAUGGGACUGAGACACGGCCCAUACUCCUACGGGAGGCAGCAGUAGGGAAUCUUCCACAAUGGACGAAAGUCUGAUGGAGCAACGCCGCGUGUGUGAUGAAGGGUUUCGGCUCGUAAAACACUGUUGUAAGAGAAGAACGACAUUGAGAGUAACUGUUCAAUGUGUGACGGUAUCUUACCAGAAAGGAACGGCUAAAUACGUG